rnacentral:rRNA from 1 species
GACGAACGCUGGCGGCGUGCUUAACACAUGCGAGUCGAACGGAAAGACCCCUUUCUUGGUCCUCUAGUGGCGAACGCGUGCGUAACACGAGCGUAACCUUCCCUUGCCUUCGAGAUAACUUCAGGAAACUGGGGCUAAUACCGGUACGGAAUCCUUGCUGCAUGGUCGUGGUUGGAAAGCUUCGGAGGUUUUGGAUGUACUCGCGGCUUAUCAGCUUGCUGGUUAGGUAGUGGCUUACCAUGGCUUUGACGGGUGGCCGGCAUGAGAGGGCGACCGGGCACCUUGGGACUGAGAUACGGCGCAGACUCCUACGGGAGGCAGCAGUGGGGAACCUUGCGCAAUGGGGGGAAGUCAGAUGCAGCAACCCUGCGUGCGGGAUGACGGCCUUUGGGUUGUAAACCGAUUUCAGCAGAGGCGAAGCCUUUUUGACGGUACCUGCAGAAGAAGCAACGGCUAACUACGUG